rnacentral:rRNA from 1 species
UACAGGGGGGGGCAAGCGUUGUUCGGAAUUACUGGGCGUAAAGGGCCAGUAGGCGGCCGACUAAGUCCGACGUGAAAUCCCCAGGCUUAACCUGGGAACUGCGUCGGAUACUGGUUGGCUUGAAUUCGGGAGAGGGAUGCAGAAUUCCAGGUGUAGCGGUGAAAUGCGUAGAUAUCUGGAGGAAUACCGAUGGCGAAGGCAGCCUCCUGGGCCAACACUGACGCUCAUGCACGAAAGCGUGGGGAGCAAACAGG